CAAAAGCUUGGUCCUGGCUUUACUGUCAUCUCAAACCGAGCUUACACAUGCAAGUCUCCGCACCCCUGUGAGGAUGCCCUCCACCCUCCUUUCCGGAAACGAGGAGCCGGUAUCAGGCACGCCUAUCAAGGCAGCCCAAAACACCUUGCUCAGCCACACCCCCAAGGGAUUUCAGCAGUGAUAGACAUUAAGCAAUAAGUGAAAACUUGACUUAGUUAAGGUUUAACAGGGCCGGUCAACCUCGUGCCAGCCGCCGCGGUUAUACGGGGGGCCCAAGAUGACAAACAUCGGCGUAAAGCGUGGUUAGGGAUAACCCUUAUACUAAAGUCGAACGCCCCUCCUGCUGUUAUACGCAUCCGGGGGUAGGAAGCUCCACCACGAAAGUGACUUUAACAUCUCUCCCGAACCCACCACAGCUAGGGAACAAACUGGGAUUAGAUACCCCACUAUGCCUAGCCGUAAACCUUGAUAGUAUACUACAACCGCUAUCCGCCCGGGUACUACGAGCGCCAGCUUAAAACCCAAAGGACUUGGCGGUGCUUCAGACCCACCUAGAGGAGCCUGUUCUAGAACCGAUAACCCCCGUUCAACCUCACCACUUCUGGCCAGUCCCGCCUAUAUACCACCGUCGUCAGCUUACCCUUUGAAGGUCCAACAGUAAGCAAAACAGGCACCGCCUCAAACGUCAGGUCGAGGUGUAGCGUAUGAAGUGGGAAGAAAUGGGCUACAAUCCCUCACUCAGGGAAAACGAAAGGUGUCAUGAAAUAUACACCAGAAGGUGGAUUUAGCAGUAAGGAGAAAAAACGAGCGUUCUCCUGAAGCCGGCUCUGAAGCGCGCACACACCGCCCGUCACUCUCCCCCACAGCUAACGCUAAAGUCAAUAAGAAAACAUCAAACCAAGGGGAGGCAAGUCGUAACAUGGUAAGUGUACCGGAAGGUGCACUUGGACAAACU
rnacentral:rRNA from 1 species